UGGAAGGGGUGUAUUUAUUAGAUAAAAAACCAACGCCCUUCGGGGCUCCUUGGUGAAUCAUAAUAACUUAACGAAUCGCAUGGCCUUGUGCCGGCGAUGGUUCAUUCAAAUUUCUGCCCUAUCAACUUUCGAUGGUAGGAUAGUGGCCUACCAUGGUUUCAACGGGUAACGGGGAAUUAGGGUUCUAUUCCGGAGAGGGAGCCUGAGAAACGGCUACCACAUCCGAGGAAGGCAGCAGGCGCGCAAAUUACCCAAUCCCGAUACGGGGAGGUAGUGACAAUAAAUACUGAUACGGGGCUCUUUUGGGUCUCGUAAUUGGAAUGAGAACAAUUUAAAUCCCUUAACGAGGAACAAUUGGAGGGCAAGUCUGGUGCCAGCAGCCGCGGUAAUUCCAGCUCCAAUAGCGUAUAUUAAAGUUGUUGCAGUUAAAAAGCUCGUAGUUGAACCUUGGGUCUGGCUGGCCGGUCCGCCUCACCGCGAGUACUGGUCCGGCUGGACCUUUCCUUCUGGGGAACCCCAUGGCCUUCACUGGCUGUGGGGGGAACCAGGACUUUUAC
rnacentral:rRNA from 1 species